rnacentral:rRNA from 1 species
CUACGGGCGGCACCAGUGAGGAAUAUUGCACAAUGGGGGGAACCCUGAUGCAGCAACGCCGCGUGGAGGAUGACGCAUUUCGGUGUGUAAACUCCUUUUAUAUGUCAAGAAAAUGACGGUAGCAUAUGAAUAAGCACCGGCUAACUCCGUGCCAGCAGCCGCGGUAAUACGGAGGGUGCAAGCGUUACUCGGAGUCGCUGGGCGUAAAGGACGCGUAGGCGGGUUGGAAAGUCAGGUGUGAAAUCCUACAGCUUAACUGUAGAACUGCACUUGAAACUUCUAACCUAGAGUAUGGGAGGGGGGGAUGGAAUUAGUGGUGUAGGGGUAAAAUCCGUAGAUAUCACUAGGAAUACCUAAAGCGAAGGCGAUCUCCUGGAACAUUACUGACGCUAAGGCGUGAAAGCGUGGGGAGCAAACAGGAUUAGAUACCCCAGUAGUC